rnacentral:rRNA from 1 species
UACGAAGGGGCUAGCGUUGCUCGGAAUCACUGGGCGUAAAGGGUGCGUAGGCGGGUCUUUAAGUCAGAGGUGAAAUCCUGGAGCUCAACUCCAGAACUGCCUUUGAUACUGAGGGUCUUGAGUUCGGGAGAGGUGAGUGGAACUGCGAGUGUAGAGGUGAAAUUCGUAGAUAUUCGCAAGAACACCAGUGGCGAAGGCGGCUCACUGGCCCGAUACUGACGCUGAGGUGCGAAAGCGUGGGGAGCAAACAGG